rnacentral:rRNA from 1 species
GUGAGGAAUAUUGGACAAUGGGUGAAAGCCUGAUCCAGCCAUCCCGCGUGAAGGAAUAAUGACCUAUGGUUUGUAAACUUCUUUUAUACAGGGAUAAACCUACCCUCGUGAGGGUAGCUGAAGGUACUGUAUGAAUAAGCACCGGCUAACUCCGUGCCAGCAGCCGCGGUAAUACGGAGGGUGCAAGCGUUAUCCGGAUUUAUUGGGUUUAAAGGGUCCGUAGGCGGGCUCGUAAGUCAGUGGUGAAAGCCUGCAGCUUAACUGUAGAACUGCCGUUGAUACUGCGAGUCUUGAGUGUAGUUGAGGUAGCUGGAAUGAGUAGUGUAGCGGUGAAAUGCAUAGAUAUUACUCAGAACACCGAUUGCGAAGGCAGGUUACCAAGUUAUAACUGACGCUGAUGGACGAAAGCGUGGGGAGCGAACAGGAUUAGAAACCCUAGUAGUCC